UAAACAGUCUAGAACUACACAUUAUUCCUGUAUUCACUAAUGAUUUCUAUUUCUUCUUCUCCCAUCUUCAGGGCUGUUCCUGCUCUGCCUUCCACAGGAGGCAUCUGCAAGCUCUUCCAGGUGCUCAAAUGCACCUUGCUCAGCAGGCUGGUCUGGUCUGGUCACCCAUCUGUGGCUGAGAUCACUCCCAUCUGUGGAAUGGCUGUCCAUGUCCUCCUGUGAAUGAGGUGCUGCAGAGUGCAAGGUGACUCUGCUGAAGUUCCUCUGGAAGCUGCAGUUUCUUGUGGACUCUACUCCCCCUCCAGACCUGCUGGUGGUGUUACCUCUUCCAUCUGCAGAACUGUUGCCCUUUCACCAGCUGCACUAGCAUCUGUAGCACCAGGAUCUGCUACUUUGCAGAAAACUGCCUUGUGGCCUGUAAGUGUAAGUAGCUCAGGUUAAGUGUCACUGUGUAUCAAUAUGAAAGCUAAAAAAAUCCAACUACAGUCUGCCUGGGGCCUCCAUGGGCCUUGUGCUUUCACUCUCAGUUGUAUUGCUUCUGUUUAUUGCGCUGUGAGAUCUAAAGUCUCUACUUGCAUGCUUUCCCAUUCUACAC
rnacentral:lncRNA from 1 species